CUUCUGCACUAAAACUGACACAGAGUUACACUAACAGCAACACUGACACUAAAACUGUAUCUGUAUCUUAGUUUAGUUCUGCUCAGUCAGCUGAAAAAAGAAAUAAAUUGUUAAUGAAUAAAAUGUUUUAAAAUGUAUUUUGAUUGUUUUUUUCAGGUAAAUUCCAUGAUGCAUCUGAAAGUGUUUUUGAGUAGAGAGUGUUUUGCAUAUGAACUGAACACUGCAGUGCUUAAAACUCCACUGAUGAUUAUUAGUGUGUGACAUCGACACACACACACACACACUUAAAACAAUGAUGUCUCUUAUUCUAAUGCUGUGGAUGCUCGGUCUGCUCGCACAAGUGUCUCAUCAAGAGGUUCAGUCUCCUGAGUCUCUGAGUGUUAAAGCAGGAGAGUCAGUCUCUAUGAGCUGCACUGGGACCAGUGGAGUUGGUGAUGACAUGAGCUGGUAUCUGCUGAAACCUGGAGAAGCUCCUAAACUCCUGGUCUAUGAUGCAAGUACACUUCAAUCUGGAGUCCCAGAUCGGUUCAGUGGAAGUUAUUCUGGACUUCAUUUCACACUGAAUCUACGUGGAGUCCAGCCUGAGGAUGCAGGAGUUUAUUACUGUAUGGGGUAUUACAGCAGAGACAGGUCCACACAGUGAAACAACAUCAUACAGAAACCCCCCUCAGUCAGACACUACAGAGAACAUGAGAAUCAGUCUAGUUUCCCUGUACAACAGAUGAAUAACACUUAAAGAAGUAAUGAAGAUUUUAAUGUUCACUUUAAUUGCCAUUUUAGAUUUAAGCAGAAAUUAAUAUGUGAAAUUUUGACCUUAGCAUCAUUGUAGACAGAAGCUUGUUUUUAUAAAGACUGGAAUUGUAAACUUUGUUAUAUGCAGCAUGAAAUACAUCACAUUCUGACAUCACAUUAUAUGAACAUGAAUUCACGCCAUCAAAACAUACUGAAACUAUUGUCUUUAAGUGAUAUUUUCAGUAUUAAAAUAUAAUGUUAGCAUUCA